rnacentral:rRNA from 1 species
GCAUCGGAUGGGCGCAGCCUGAUCCAGCAAUGCCGCGUGAGUGAAGAAGGCCUUCGGGUUGUAAAGCUCUUUUGUCAGGGAAGAAACGGUUCAGGCUAAUAUCCUGGGCUAAUGACGGUACCUGAAGAAUAAGCACCGGCUAACUACGUGCCAGCAGCCGCGGUAAUACGUAGGGUGCAAGCGUUAAUCGGAAUUACUGGGCGUAAAGCGUGCGCAGGCGGUUUUGUAAGUCUGACGUGAAAGCCCCGGGCUCAACCUGGGAAUUGCGUUGGAGACUGCAAGGCUUGAAUCUGGCAGAGGGGGGUAGAAUUCCACGUGUAGCAGUGAAAUGCGUAGAGAUGUGGAGGAACACCGAUGGCGAAGGCAGCCCCCUGGGUCAAGAUUGACGCUCAUGCACGAAAGCGUGGGGAGCAAACAGGAUUAGAUACCCUGGUAGUCCACGCCCUAAACGAUGUCUACUAGUUGUCGGGUUUUAAUUAACUUGGUAACGCAGCUAACGCGUGAAGUAAACCGCCUGGGGAGUACGGUCGCAAGAUUAAAACUCAAAGAAAUUGACGGA